rnacentral:rRNA from 1 species
UACGAAGGGUGCAAACGUUGCUCGGAAUCAUUGGGCGUAAAGCGCACGUAGGCGGCUUCGCAAGUCGGAUGUGAAAUCCCACGGCUCAACCAUGGACGUGCAUCCGAAACUGUGAGGCUUGAGUAUGGAAGAGGGUCGCGGAAUUCCCGGUGUAGAGGUGAAAUUCGUAGAUAUCGGGAGGAACACCAGUGGCGAAGGCGGCGACCUGGUCCUUGACUGACGCUGAGGCGCGAAAGCGUGGGGAGCAAACAGG